GGAAGCUUAUUGUCUGCAUUCAACCAUUUGAUGAGGACAGGGAAACAAGAGCAGUCCACACCUUGCUGUGAGGGGUCGCGGGGGGCUGGAGCCUAUCCCAGCUGACUGAGAGCGAAGGCAGGUUACACCCUGGACAGCCGGUGAACCCGGAGAAAACCCUUGCGUGCACAAGGAGAACAUGCAAACUCCAUGCAGAAAGAUCCCAGGUGCAGGCCAGGACAUGAACCAGGGAUCUUCUAGCUGCAAGGUGACAGUGCUAACCACCAAGCCAAUGUGCAACACCAUUUUUUUCCUUCCAAAUUCAUAAAACCUAGAAAACAGAAACACCUUAGUUCAGUAGCAAACACAAGCUGCUAUUUGUGGAGAUGUAGUCUGGGAUACUCACAUCCCAUCUUUUAACUAAAGUUCAUAUUUUACCAAAAAUAAAAUAAAACAGGUGACCCGAUACCCGAGGGAUCAGGUGCUUGCAUAGAACACACAGAGAUAUGUGAAUUAGCUACAUUUAGCUACAGGAUUAAAUCAUUGACCACCAACAGUUUCUGAAAGGUGACAAUGAUACUACUACUUUGAUUGAUGCUGCUCCUAGCUAAUAUUUGGACUACGAGCUUCUGUCACUGUUACUAGUACCACCGCUAUAACUGUUCCAUCAGUAAGUAAGCUUAUAGCUAGAAAUACUAAUACAUCAACAUGCUAGUAUAGUAUGCCUGAUUAAUAGGUUUUAAUUUCAUAUGUAGGUUUUAUACCAAAGCACUGUUUUCCAUCAUUGACAUUAAUCUUUCAACUGCUCCUUGUUUGACCUCACUGUGAACUCGGCAUCCUUUCAAUUCACUAGUACAGUACCAGCAGUGCUACAGUAUGCAUCUGCUGGCUUACAUCACUUGACACACCCUGGACUAUGGUGGUUAAAAUACUGCUGCUUACUUGGACUCACCUUCACCACCUGGUGGUGCAAUUAUGUUCUACAGUCAGGGCCUUCAAUAAAUUACAAAAGGACUAAAAAGGGUGGACAAGGUAUGUUCUGGGUUUAACUAUUCAGUUUUCGCUGAAGUACAGUGUUGGGGAAAAUGUUGGGCCUACUUUGAAUAUAAGGACUGUUGUUGUUACCCUUCCUCUGAUCUGGAAGCCCCAUUAGUCUGUUGCAAAUCCACUUGUGUAUUUCAAGGAAAUAGCAAACCACCCAGGUUAUGUCUCCAGACACAUGGUCAUGGUAGACUACCAGGCUUUUCUAGUCUUAUCAGAAUAAUAGCUAUUACAGACAAACAAUAUAUAUACUGUAAUAUAUAAUUAAUAUAUAAUAAUACAGAACUGUUGAUUGAUUUGACCAAAUUUUUCAAAACGUUAAGGCAAACACCCAAAUGGGCUCAGUUCAAUUCUAGCUAUAUUCUGUCAUCCAUCCUAAAUCACAUGUUUAUUUGUAGACAGAGUAAUAAAUCAGUGCAAUAUAUGUCUGCAAAAUGUUCUCAUUUCCUGUACACUGUUACGAAUGUGAGUACUGCAAUUCCCUGUCUUCCUUUUGUUAACCGUCAUGAUGUUGUAAUGUGAUGAAUCUCUGUUGCAGUACUGCCAAAUGUUUUUGCUGUUUCCAGUGCAAAGUUGCACAUGGUUGACAUCUAAUGCUUGGAAACUGAUG
ensembl:lncRNA